rnacentral:rRNA from 1 species
GACGAACGCUGGCGGCGUGCUUAACACAUGCAAGUCGAACGGUAAGGCCCUUCGGGGUACACGAGUGGCGAACGGGUGAGUAACACGUGGGUGAUCUGCCCUGCACUUCGGGAUAAGCCUGGGAAACUGGGUCUAAUACCGGAUAGGACUCCUGGCUUCAUGGUUGGGGGUGGAAAGCUUUUGCGGUGUGGGAUGGGCCCGCGGCCUAUCAGCUUGUUGGUGGGGUAAUGGCCUACCAAGGCGACGACGGGUAGCCGGCCUGAGAGGGUGACCGGUCACACUGGGACUGGGAUACGGCCCAGACUCAUACGGGAGGCAGCAGUGGGGAAUAUUGCACAAUGGGCGCAAGCCUGAUGCAGCGACGCCGCGGGAGGGAUGACGGCCUUCGGGUUGUAAACCUCUUUCAGCUAUGACGAAGCGCAAGUGACGGUAGUAGCAGAAGAAGGACCGGCCAACUACGUGCCAGCAGCCGCCGUAA